UUAAGCGACUAAGCGUACACGGUGGAUGCCCUGGCAGUCAGAGGCGAUGAAGGACGUGCUAAUCUGCGAUAAGCGUCGGUAAGGUGAUAUGAACCGUUAUAACCGGCGAUUUCCGAAUGGGGAAACCCAGUGUGAUUCGUCACACUAUCAUUAACUGAAUCCAUAGGUUAAUGAGGCGAACCGGGGGAACUGAAACAUCUAAGUACCCCGAGGAAAAGAAAUCAACCGAGAUUCCCCCAGUAGCGGCGAGCGAACGGGGAGCAGCCCAGAGCCUGAAUCAGUGUGUGUGUUAGUGGAAGCGUCUGGAAAGGCGCGCGAUACAGGGUGACAGCCCCGUACACAAAAAUGCACAURCUGUGAGCUCGAUGAGUAGGGCGGGACACGUGGUAUCCUGUCUGAAUAUGGGGGGACCAUCCUCCAAGGCUAAAUACUCCUGACUGACCGAUAGUGAACCAGUACCGUGAGGGAAAGGCGAAAAGAACCCCGGCGAGGGGAGUGAAAAAGAACCUGAAACCGUGUACGUACAAGCAGUGGGAGCACGCUUAGGCGUGUGACUGCGUACCUUUUGUAUAAUGGGUCAGCGACUUAUAUUCUGUAGCAAGGUUAACCGAAUAGGGGAGCCGAAGGGAAACCGAGUCUUAACUGGGCGUUAAGUUGCAGGGUAUAGACCCGAAACCCGGUGAUCUAGCCAUGGGCAGGUUGAAGGUUGGGUAACACUAACUGGAGGACCGAACCGACUAAUGUUGAAAAAUUAGCGGAUGACUUGUGGCUGGGGGUGAAAGGCCAAUCAAACCGGGAGAUAGCUGGUUCUCCCCGAAAGCUAUUUAGGUAGCGCCUCGUGAAYUCAUCUCCGGGGGUAGAGCACUGUUUCGGCAAGGGGGUCAUCCCGACUUACCAACCCGAUGCAAACUGCGAAUACCGGAGAAUGUUAUCACGGGAGACACACGGCGGGUGCUAACGUCCGUCGUGAAGAGGGAAACAACCCAGACCGCCAGCUAAGGUCCCAAAGUCAUGGUUAAGUGGGAAACGAUGUGGGAAGGCCCAGACAGCCAGGAUGUUGGCUUAGAAGCAGCCAUCAUUUAAAGAAAGCGUAAUAGCUCACUGGUCGAGUCGGCCUGCGCGGAAGAUGUAACGGGGCUAAACCAUGCACCGAAGCUGCGGCAGCGACGCUUAUGCGUUGUUGGGUAGGGGAGCGUUCUGUAAGCCUGUGAAGGUGUGCUGUGAGGCAUGCUGGAGGUAUCAGAAGUGCGAAUGCUGACAUAAGUAACGAUAAAGCGGGUGAAAAGCCCGCUCGCCGGAAGACCAAGGGUUCCUGUCCAACGUUAAUCGGGGCAGGGUGAGUCGACCCCUAAGGCGAGGCCGAAAGGCGUAGUCGAUGGGAAACAGGUUAAUAUUCCUGUACUUGGUGUUACUGCGAAGGGGGGACGGAGAAGGCUAUGUUGGCCGGGCGACGGUUGUCCCGGUUUAAGCGUGUAGGCUGGUUUUCCAGGCAAAUCCGGAAAAUCAAGGCUGAGGCGUGAUGACGAGGCACUACGGUGCUGAAGCAACAAAUGCCCUGCUUCCAGGAAAAGCCUCUAAGCAUCAGGUAACAUCAAAUCGUACCCCAAACCGACACAGGUGGUCAGGUAGAGAAUACCAAGGCGCUUGAGAGAACUCGGGUGAAGGAACUAGGCAAAAUGGUGCCGUAACUUCGGGAGAAGGCACGCUGAUAUGUAGGUGAAGUCCCUCGCGGAUGGAGCUGAAAUCAGUCGAAGAUACCAGCUGGCUGCAACUGUUUAUUAAAAACACAGCACUGUGCAAACACGAAAGUGGACGUAUACGGUGUGACGCCUGCCCGGUGCCGGAAGGUWAAUUGAUGGGGUCAGCGCAAGCGAAGCUCUUGAUCGAAGCCCCGGUAAACGGCGGCCGUAACUAUAACGGUCCUAAGGUAGCGAAAUUCCUUGUCGGGUAAGUUCCGACCUGCACGAAUGGCGUAAUGAUGGCCAGGCUGUCUCCACCCGAGACUCAGUGAAAUUGAACUCGCUGUGAAGAUGCAGUGUACCCGCGGCAAGACGGAAAGACCCCGUGAACCUUUACUAUAGCUUGACACUGAACAUUGAGCCUUGAUGUGUAGGAUAGGUGGGAGGCUUAGAAGUGUGGACGCCAGUCUGCAUGGAGCCGACCUUGAAAUACCACCCUUUAAUGUUUGAUGUUCUAACGUUGACCCGUAAUCCGGGUUGCGGACAGUGUCUGGUGGGUAGUUUGACUGGGGCGGUCUCCUCCUAAAGAGUAACGGAGGAGCACGAAGGUUGGCUAAUCCUGGUCGGACAUCAGGAGGUUAGUGCAAUGGCAUAAGCCAGCUUGACUGCGAGCGUGACGGCGCGAGCAGGUGCGAAAGCAGGUCAUAGUGAUCCGGUGGUUCUGAAUGGAAGGGCCAUCGCUCAACGGAUAAAAGGUACUCCGGGGAUAACAGGCUGAUACCGCCCAAGAGUUCAUAUCGACGGCGGUGUUUGGCACCUCGAUGUCGGCUCAUCACAUCCUGGGGCUGAAGUAGGUCCCAAGGGUAUGGCUGUUCGCCAUUUAAAGUGGUACGCGAGCUGGGUUUAGAACGUCGUGAGACAGUUCGGUCCCUAUCUGCCGUGGGCGCUGGAGAACUGAGGGGGGCUGCUCCUAGUACGAGAGGACCGGAGUGGACGCAUCACUGGUGUUCGGGUUGUCAUGCCAAUGGCACUGCCCGGUAGCUAAAUGCGGAAGAGAUAAGUGCUGAAAGCAUCUAAGCACGAAACUUGCCCCGAGAUGAGUUCUCCCUGACUCCUUGAGAGUCCUGAAGGAACGUUGAAGACGACGACGUUGAUAGGCCGGGUGUGUAAGCGCAGCGAUGCGUUGAGCUAACCGGUACUAAUGAACCGUGAGGCUUAACCUU
rnacentral:rRNA from 1 species